rnacentral:rRNA from 1 species
GGGCCCGCACAAGCAGUGGAGUAUGUGGUUUAAUUCGAAGCAACGCGAAGAACCUUACCAGGUCUUGACAUCCAACUAAUCCUGUAGAGAUACGGGAGUGCCCUUCGGGGAAAGUUGAGACAGGUGGUGCAUGGUUGUCGUCAGCUCGUGUCGUGAGAUGUUGGGUUAAGUCCCGCAACGAGCGCAACCCUUGUGAUUAGUUGCUACGCAAGAGCACUCUAAUCAGACUGCCGUUGACAAAACGGAGGAAGGUGGGGACGACGUCAAAUCAUCAUGCCCCUUAUGAUCUGGGCUACACACGUACUACAAUGGCCAUCAACAGAGGGAAGCAAAACCGCGAGGCAGAGCAAACCCCUAAAAAUGGUCUCAGUUCGGAUCGCAGGCUGAAACCCGCCUGCGUGAAGCUGGAAUUGCUAGUAAUCGCGGAUCAUCAUGCCGCGGUGAAUACGUUCCCGGGCCUUGUACACACCGCCCGUCACACCAUGGGAGCCGGUAAUACCCGAA